rnacentral:rRNA from 1 species
AUUAGAUAAAAAACCAACGCCCUUCGGGGCUCCUUGGUGAAUCAUAAUAACUUAACGAAUCGCAUGGCCUUGCGCCGGCGAUGGUUCAUUCAAAUUUCUGCCCUAUCAACUUUCGAUGGUAGGAUAGUGGCCUACCAUGGUGGCAACGGGUAACGGGGAAUUAGGGUUCGAUUCCGGAGAGGGAGCCUGAGAAACGGCUACCACAUCCAAGGAAGGCAGCAGGCGCGCAAAUUACCCAAUCCCGAUACGGGGAGGUAGUGACAAUAAAUACUGAUACGGGGCUCUUUUGGGUCUCGUAAUUGGAAUGAGAACAAUUUAAAUCCCUUAACGAGGAACAAUUGGAGGGCAAGUCUGGUGCCAGCAGCCGCGGUAAUUCCAGCUCCAAUAGCGUGUAUUAAAGUUGUUGCAGUUAAAAAGCUCGUAGUUGAACCUUGGCUCUGGCUGGCCGGUCCGCCUCACCGCGAGUACUGGUCCGGCUGGAGCUUUCCUUCUGGGGAAUCUCAUGGCCUUCACUGG